rnacentral:tRNA from 1 species
GGGGUUGUGGCUCAGUGGUAGAGCACUUGCCUGGCAUGUGUGAGGCACUGGGUUUGAUUCUCAACACCA